rnacentral:rRNA from 1 species
AACGUAGGUACCGAGUGUUAUCCGGAUUUACUGGGCGUAAAGCGCGUUCAGGCGGUUUGGCAAGUCGGGCAUGAAAUCUCUCGGCUCAACCGGGAGAGGUUGUCCGAUACUUCCAGACUUGAGGGCAGUAGAGGGUGGUGGAAUUCCGGGUGUAGUGGUGAAAUGCGUAGAUAUCCGGAGGAACACCAGUGGCGAAAGCGGCCACCUGGACUGCACCUGACGCUGACACGCGAAAGCUAGGGGAGCGAACGGG